GGUAGCAAUACUCGCUGGCGACCGGCGCACGGGUGCGUAACGCGUAUGUAAUCUGCCCACUACUGGGGGAUAGCCCGGAGAAAUUCGGAUUAAUACCCCAUAACACAGUGAGACCACAUGGUUUUAUUGUUAAAGCUCAGGCGGUAGUGGAUGAACAUGCGUCCGAUUAGCUAGUUGGUGUAGGUAACGGCUCACCAAGGCGACGAUCGGUAGGGGGUCUGAGAGGAUGAUCCCCCACACUGGUACUGAGAUACGGACCAGACUCCUACGGGAGGCAGCAGUAGGGAAUAUUGGGCAAUGGACGCAAGUCUGACCCAGCCAUGCCGCGUGCAGGAAGAAGGCUUUCUGAG
rnacentral:rRNA from 1 species